rnacentral:rRNA from 1 species
CCUACGGGAGGCAGCAGUGAGGAAUAUUGGUCAAUGGACGAGAGUCUGAACCAGCCAAGUAGCGUGAAGGAUGACUGCCCUAUGGGUUGUAAACUUCUUUUGUCGGGGAGCAAAGAGAGUCACGUGUGACUCAUUGAGAGUACCCGAAGAAAAAGCAUCGGCUAACUCCGUGCCAGCAGCCGCGGUAAUACGGAGGAUGCGAGCGUUAUCCGGAUUUAUUGGGUUUAAAGGGUGCGCAGGCGGAGGUGCAAGUCAGCGGUCAAAUUGCGGGGCUCAACCCCGUACUGCCGUUGAAACUGCAGCCCUUGAAUGCGCGAGAAGGAUGGGGAAUGCGUGGUGUAGCGGUGAAAGGCAUAGAUAUCACGCAGAACUCCGAUUGCGAAGGCAGCAUACCGGGGCGCAACUGACGCUGAUGAACGAAAGCGUGGGUAUCGAACAGGAUUAGAUACCCUUGUAGUC